rnacentral:rRNA from 1 species
UGGGGAAUAUUGCACAAUGGGGGGAAUCCUGAUGCAGCCAUGCCGCGUGAAUGAAGAAGGCCUUCGGGUUGUAAAGUUCUUUCGGUGACGAGGAAGGUUGGUAGGUUAAUAGCCUAUCAAAUUGACGUUAAUCACAGAAGAAGCACCGGCUAACUCCGUGCCAGCAGCCGCGGUAAUACGGGGGGUGCGAGCGUUAAUCGGAAUAACUGGGCGUAAAGGGCACGCAGGCGGUGACUUAAGUGAGAUGUGAAAGCCCCGAGCUUAACUUGGGAAUUGCAUUUCAUACUGGGUCGCUAGAGUACUUUAGGGAGGGGUAGAAUUCCACGUGUAGCGGUGAAAUGCGUAGAGAUGUGGAGGAAUACCGAAGGCGAAGGCAGCCCCUUGGGAAUGUACUGACGCUCAUGUGCGAAAGCGUGGGGAGCAAACAGGAUUAGAUACCCUGGUAGUCCACGCUGUAAACGAUGUCGAUUUGGGGAUUGGGCUUUGAGCUUGAUGCCCGUAGCUAACGUGAUAAAUCGACCGCCUGGGGAGUACGGCCGCAAGGUUA